rnacentral:rRNA from 1 species
ACGGCCCAGACUCCUACGGGAGGCAGCAGUGGGGAAUAUUGCACAAUGGGCGCAAGCCUGAUGCAGCGACGCCGCGUGGGGGAUGAAGGCCUUCGGGUUGUAAACUCCUUUCGCUAGGGACGAAGCUUUUUGUGACGGUACCUAGAUAAGAAGCACCGGCUAACUACGUGCCAGCAGCCGCGGUAAUACGUAGGGUGCGAGCGUUGUCCGGAAUUACUGGGCGUAAAGGGCUCGUAGGUGGUUUGUCGCGUCGUCUGUGAAAUUCUGGGGCUUAACUCCGGGCGUGCAGGCGAUACGGGCAUAACUUGAGUGCUGUAGGGGUAACUGGAAUUCCUGGUGUAGCGGUGAAAUGCGCAGAUAUCAGGAGGAACACCGAUGGCGAAGGCAGGUUACUGGGCAGUUACUGACGCUGAGGAGCGAAAGCAUGGGUAGCGAACAGGAUUAGAUACCCUGGUAGUCCAUGCCGUAAACGGUGGGCGCUAGGUGUGAGGGUCUUUCUACGACUUUCGU